GAUGAACGCCGGCGGCGUGCCUAAUACAUGCAAGUCGAGCGAACAGACGAGGAGCUUGCUCCUCUGACGUUAGCGGUGGACGGGUGAGUAACACGUGGAUAACCUACCUAUAAGACUGGGAUAACUUCGGGAAACCGGAGCUAAUACCGGAUAAUAUAUUGAACCGCAUGGUUCAAUAGUGAAAGACGGUUUUGCUGUCACUUAUAGAUGGAUCCGCGCCGCAUUAGCUAGUUGGUAAGGUAACGGCUUACCAAGGCAACGAUGCGUAGCCGACCUGAGAGGGUGAUCGGCCACACUGGAACUGAGACACGGUCCAGACUCCUACGGGAGGCAGCAGUAGGGAAUCUUCCGCAAUGGGCGAAAGCCUGACGGAGCAACGCCGCGUGAGUGAUGAAGGUCUUCGGAUCGUAAAACUCUGUUAUUAGGGAAGAACAAAUGUGUAAGUAACUAUGCACGUCUUGACGGUACCUAAUCAGAAAGCCACGGCUAACUACGUG
rnacentral:rRNA from 1 species